GUGGGGAAUAUUGGACAAUGGGGGGAACCCUGAUCCAGCCAUGCCGCGUGUGUGAAGAAGGCCUUUUGGUUGUAAAGCACUUUAAGCGAGGAGGAGGCUACCGAGAUUAAUACUCUUGGAUAGUGGACGUUACUCGCAGAAUAAGCACCGGCUAACUCUGUGCCAGCAGCCGCGGUAAUACAGAGGGUGCGAGCGUUAAUCGGAUUUACUGGGCGUAAAGCGUGCGUAGGCGGCUUUUUAAGUCGGAUGUGAAAUCCCCGAGCUUAACGUGGGAAUUGCAUUCGAUACUGGGAAGCUAGAGUAUGGGAGAGGAUGGUAGAAUUCCAGGUGUAGCGGUGAAAUGCGUAGAGAUCUGGAGGAAUACCGAUGGCGAAGGCAGCCAUCUGGCCUAAUACUGACGCUGAGGUACGAAAGCAUGGGGAGCAAACAGGAUUAGAUACCCGGGUAGUCC
rnacentral:rRNA from 1 species